UUGAUAGGCCGGGUGUGUAAGCGCCGCGAUGCGUUGAGCUAACCGGUACUAAUGAACCGUGAGGCGUAACCUUACAACGCCGAAG
rnacentral:rRNA from 1 species